GCAGCUCAGAGCUCGCUCUGUCCCCUCCACCAGUCCCUGUGGGGCAACCCUGGGUUGUGACAUCUCUGAAAACAUGUUUUGGACUAACUGACAGGCCAGAGGAAGGCAGCGUGCCGGUGUCUCAAUCCUUCCACGAACUGCUUUUGAAGACGGAAGACGGCAGAGAGAGGAGGCCUCAACCAUGAGCAACUGCUCCCUCUUCGAAACUCUUAACGCCUCGCCAUCCUCCGAGCCCUGAUUCUCAGACCAGCAGAAUCGGUACCACCUGUGCACUGACUGCGCUAAAGCAUCUCAGCAUCUCGGGCUCCACUGGCUCCCUGCUCCAGGCUCUGUCAGAGCGCCUUCGGGAGAGGAAGGAGGUGGCCCCCCAGCUCCAGUCUCCUUAACUGCACCCUGGGAAGUCUGCACACUGCCUUUCUUUCUCCCCUCCUGGUGGUCUAAUCUGGAGUCAGAUCCAGCCGCUGGCUCUCGCAGAUGGGGAAGGACUGCCAGCCAACAGGAAAACAACAGGUUUCUAUAAUUCAUCAUUCAGUCCCUUCUGAAAACCUAGAAUGAGAGUUUAGCAGCUCAGAGCCCCGGCCUCUCUCCAUUCUCUCCCCAAACACAUCAGCUUGUUUGUUCCCUUUCAUCCGGGCUCUUCCUGUCGCAUUCUGCCUGUUCAAUGGGGAAAGAGUGAAACCGGAUGGCUGGACCCAGUGCGGGGAAAUGACUUCAGAGCCACCUUUGUUUCCCUCAUUCCUUUGAGCACACUUGGCCCCCGCGUCUCUAUGAAAGGGCUUGUUUGAACCAUUUGGAACAUCUCGCGAGUGGGAGAUGCUAUGGCCAGAAUCGCUCACAUCUUUUCAGGCUGCCUGAGACUGGGUGAAACUGCCAAAUUUUUGCAACAAAACUAACCAUGACAUUGGACAUUGUGUUAUAAAUUAGCCACAGCCUUCCAAGCAAAUUGUCUCUUUUCAUUGUGUCAGUGUAAGCCUUUGAAACGUUUGGCUCCAGCUACUGACUUUGGAGAGACUCAGAGAAUAUUUUUGUUCGGCCCCAAACCAGCCCUUCAGACACUAAGCUGCAUGGGCUAAUAUAUGUAUCUUAGUUGACAGCUCUUCUUACCACACUUACUCAGAAGAUUCCUGUUGGUUAUAUUUCAUUUCUCUGCCUAAAAUUCGGUUAAUGGGCUUCUCAGUUUUGAUGUAGCAGGAACCAUCUCCAUUUGUCUUUGAAACAAAAAGAUGUACUUCUCUUUUCUUAGGCUUUUCACAAUGAUUAUUGGAAGUUUCUUUGAAGGAGGAGUUCUUUUCAGAACUCCAGUGAGAGUUAUUAAAAUGUGUUACUAUGUUGCUCUAGGUGACAUAUAGAAUUUCAGCAUUCAGUACUCACAGAAGCAAUGAAAAUGUCUAUUUCUGUUAAAUCACUCUGUGUUUUUUUUAAAAAAGAAAACAUCUAUGCAUCCACUUGAGCUCUGUCACCAACAG
ensembl:lncRNA